GUUGAUUCUGGCUCAGGAUGAACGCUAGCGACAGGCCUAACACAUGCAAGUCGAGGGGCAGCGCGGGAGAAGCUUGCUUUCCUGGCGGCGACCGGCGCACGGGUGCGUAACAGGUGUGCAAUCUGUCCAUAGUCGGGGGAUAGCCCAGCGAAAGCUGAAUUAAUACUCCAUGUGAAUCGAAGCCGCAUGACUUUGAUUUGAAACGCAAGGACUAUGGGUGAGCACGCUUCUGAUUAGGUAGUUGGUGGGGUAACGGCCCACCAAGCCGACGAUCAGUAGGGUUCUGAGAGGAAGGUCCCCCACAUUGGAACUGAGACACGGUCCAAACUCCUACGGGAGGCAGCAGUGAGGAAUAUUGGUCAAUGGGCGAGAGCCUGAACCAGCCAAGUCGCGUGAAGGAUGAAGGUUCUAUGGAUUGUAAACUUCUUUUGUCCGAGGGUAAAAAGGCCACGUGUGGCUUCUUGCAAGUAUCGGACGAAUAAGCAUCGGCUAACUCCGUGCCAGCCGCCGC
rnacentral:rRNA from 1 species